rnacentral:rRNA from 1 species
AGUCGAACGCAGUAGCAAUACUGAGUGGCAGACGGGUGAGUAUAAUGUGGGAAUCUGCCUUUUGGUUCGGAAUAACACGAGGAAACUUGUGCUAAUACCGGAUAAGCCCUUACGGGGAAAGUUUUAAUGCCAAAAGAUGAGCCCGCACUUGAUUAGUUAGUUGGUAGGGUAAUGGCCUACCAAGACUGUGAUCAAUAGCUGUUCUUAGAGGAAGACCAGCCACAUUGGGACUGAGACACGGCCCAAACUCC